AGUGAACGCUGGCGGUAGGCCUAACACAUGCAAGUCGAACGGCAGCACAGUAAGAGCUUGCUCUUACGGGUGGCGAGUGGCAGACGGGUGAGGAAUACAUCGGAAUCUACUUUUUCGUGGGGGAUAACGUAGGGAAACUUACGCUAAUACCGCAUACGACCUACGGGUGAAAGCAGGGGAUCUUCGGACCUUGCGCGAUUGAAUGAGACGAUGUCGGAUUAGCUAGUUGGCGGGGUAAAGGCCCACCAAGGCGACGAUCCGUAGCUGGUCUGAGAGGAUGAUCAGCCACACUGGAACUGAGACACGGUCCAGACUCCUACGGGAGGCAGCAGUGGGGAAUAUUGGACAAUGGGCGCAAGCCUGAUCCAGCCAUACCGCGUGGGUGAAGAAGGCCUUCGGGUGGUAAAGCCCUUUUGUUGGGAAAGAAAAGCAGCAGGUUAAUACCCCGCUGUUCUGACGGUACCCAAAGAAUAAGCACCGGCUAACUUCGUG
rnacentral:rRNA from 1 species